rnacentral:tRNA from 1 species
AGUCCCAUAGUCUAGUGGUCAAGGAUGCGAGACUCUGACUCUCGCGACCCAGGUUCGAAUCCUGGUGGGGCUA